AGGGUUCUCAGGCAUUUUGCAAAUACAUCUUUUAAGCUGUUUUAUCAGAGAUUGCUAUUAUCAUAGGAUUAAACCCACCCUCAAUAAUUCUUACAAUGGUGCAGGUGAUUCUCAUCUGUGUCCAGCAUUGAAAAUCAAGGCAGUUUCCUCCAUGUUGAGAGCUGAGAUCAGCCUGUGAUCCACAGGGAGCUGAGGGGGCUGUGCUCUGCAUGGGGUUUGGUUAGGGCCAGAUCUGUGCCCUGAAGGUCUGUGUCCUGCUGCAGUGUGUGUGUGGACUUUUCCAGGAGGGGAGCAAGAUCUGAAAACGGGUCAAAAUUACACUUGUAGGUCUUCCUGUGGGGCUUUGUUAUCUUGGCAUGAUCUCUGGUGUGGUGGGCAGCAGAGGACCAUCUUCCUACUGGGAUUGAUUUCCAAAAACUCCUGUUACAUGAGGAAGACACCAAGAAGAGCAAAGAAAAGGAGCCAGGGUGGCUCUUCCUCAGGUGAAGUGGAUAUUUCUCGGUGGAUUAAUCUGUCUCUUUCCUUUCUGAAAUGCCAGCUAUCUCUUCCAAAUGCAUGACAAGGAAGUUCUCAUCAAGAAGGCAAGGCAAUACAGAAGUGUUCCACACAGGGACAUUGCAAAGACAAGCAAGUCAUCACACUGGAGAUUUUUCCUUCCAGGAAAUUGAGAAAGAUUUUCAGGACUUUGAGUUUCAGUGGCAAGAAGAUGAAAGAAAUGGCCAUGAAGCACUCAUGACAGAGAUAAAAAAGUUGACAGGUAAUACAGACUGAUAUGAUCAAAGGCAUGCUGGAAACAAACCUAUUAAAGAUCAGCUUGGAUCAAGCUUUCAUUCACAUCUGCCUGAACUGCAUAUAUUGCAGAGCAAAGGGAAAAUUGAUAGUCAAGAUGAGAAGUCUGUCAAUGAUGCUUCCUCAGUUUCAGCAUCCCAAAGAAUUUCUUGUAUUCCUAAAACCCAUAUUUCUAAUAAGUAUGGGAAUAAUUUCCUCCAGGAAGCACACAUGAGAGAAAAAUCUUUCCAAUGUAAUGAGAGUGGCAAAGCCUUUAAUUGUAGCUCACUGUUAAAAAAAUGUCAGAUAAUCCAUUUAGGAGAGAAAAAAUAUAAAUGUGAUAUAUGUGGCAAGGUCUUUAAUCAGAAGCGAUACCUUGCAUACCAUCAUAGAUGUCACACUGGUGAGAAACCUUACAAGUGUAAUCAGUGUGGCAAGACCUUCAGUUACAAGUCAUCCCUUGUAAUUCACAAGGCAAUUCAUACUGGAGAGAAACCUCACAAGUGUAAUGAAUGUGGCAAGGUUUUUAAUCAAAAAGCAUAUCUUGCAAGUCAUCAUAGACUUCAUACUGGAGAGAAACCUUACAAAUGUGAAGAAUGUGACAAAGUUUUUAGUCGCUAAUCACACCUUGAAAGACAUAGGAGAAUUCAUACUGGAGAGAAACCGUACAAAUGUAAGGUUUGUGACAAGGCUUUCAGACGUGAUUCACACCUGGCACAACAUAUUGUAAUUCACACUGGAGAGAAACCUUACAAGUGUAAUGAGUGUGGCAAGACCUUUGUUCAAAAUUCAUCUCUUGUAAUGCAUAAGGUCAUUCAUACUGGAGAGAAAUGUUACAAGUGUAAUGAAUGUGGCAAGGUUUUUAAUCACAAAUCAAACCUUGCAUGUCAUCAUAGACUUCAUACUGGAGAGAAACCUUACAAGUGUAAUGAAUGUGGCAAGGUUUUUAAUUGAAAAUCAAACCUUGAACAUCAUCAUAGAGUUCAUAUCGGAGAAAAACCUUACAAAUGUGAAGAAUGUGACAAAGUUUUCAAUUUCAAUUCACGCCUUGAAAUACAUAGGAGAGUUCAUACUGGAGAGAAACCAUAGAAAUGUAAGGUUUGUGACAAGGCAUUCGGGUGUGAUUCACACCUGGCACAACAUACUAGAAUUCACACUGGAGAGAAACCGUGCAAGUGUGAUGAGUGUGACAGAGCCUUCAGUGGUCAGUCAACACUUAUUCACCAUCAAGCAAUCCAUGUCAUAGGGAAACUUUACUAAUGUAAUGAUUGUCACAAAGUCCUCAGUAAUGCUACAACCAUUGCAAAUUAUUGGAGAAUGCAUAAUGAAGUGAGAACUUACAAGUGUUAUAAAUGUGGCAAAUUUUUCAGACUUCGUUCAUACCUUGCAGUUUAUCAGCGAACUCAUACUGGAGAGAAACCUUACAAAUGUGAUGAUUGUGGCAAGGUCUUCAGUCAAGCUUCAUCUUAUGCAAAACACAGGUGAAUUCAUACAAGAAAGAAACCUCACAAGGGUGAUGAUUGUGUCAAAGCCUUUAUUUCAGGUUCAUGCCUCAUUACACAUCAGAGAAUCCAUACUAGACAGAGAUCUUACAAAAGUCAUAUGUGUGGCAAGAUCUUUAGUCUGAGGUCACUCCUUGCAGGACAUCAGGAAAUUCAUUUUUGAGGUAAUAAUUUCAAAUGCAAUGAGUAUAGCAAACCAUCAAGCACAAUUGAUGUUAGAUUCAAAUCAGCAUUGAGUUCAGUUUGAGUUGACUUAACAUUGAGUUCAAGUAUUUGUUGAGAUUAAAGUGUUUAUGUUAAGAGGAUUAGGCCAGGUGCGGUGGCUCACACCUGUAAUCCCAGCACUUUGGGAGGCCAAGACAGGUAGAUCACUUGAGAUCAGGAGUUUGAGAGCAGCCUGGCCAACAGAGGUGAGCACCUUUCCCAGUCUGUUUUUUGUUUCUUCAACAAAAACUGAUAGAGAUUUUUAUGGGUAUUGUGUUGAAUCAAAAUCACAUUGGGUUAUGUAAUCAUUUAACAGUAUUAAUUUUUCCAAAACAUCAAUAUGGGUUAUAUCUUUAUAUAUGUUUUUAAUCAUUUUGAUCAAUGUUUGUAGAUUUCAAUGUAUGAAUUUCUCACUUCUUUCCAUUUAUUCCUAUUUCUUACUUUAAGUUCUCUAGCAAAUGGAAGUGUUUUUAAAUUUUCAUUUAAAAUUGUUUAUUGUUAAUGUAUGAAAAUUCAACGAAUUUUUGGUGCUGAUAUUGUAUUGUGCAAAUCUACUGAUGUGUUUAUUAGUCACAGUAGUAUUUUGGUUGACUCUUUGUGAUUUUCUACACAGAAGAUCAUGUCAUCUACAAAAAAUAUAAUUUUACUUUUUCUGAUUUUGAGGCAUUUCAUUUCUUUUGCUAGUUCAUUGCUCUGGCUAGGACUUCCAGUAUUUAUUGAAUAGAAAAAGUGAGAACGUUCUUGCAUCAUGUGAGAUCCUACGGGAAAAGGAUUCUAUUUUCCCUGCUUGGUUAUCUCCACAUUGGUCAUUUCAUCAAUGGUCUUUCUAUUGGUGAGGUAAAUUUCCUUCUCCAUCUAUUUUGUUUAAGAUUUCUAUGAUGAUCAGAUGCUGAAUUUUGUGAAAUGAUUUUUCUCCAUCUGUUGAGAUGAUGUGGUUUUCAUCUUUCAUUCUGUUCAAGUGGUAUAUCACAUUGAUUUGCUUGAAUAUGUUGAACCAUCCUUGCAUGCCAGAAGUAAAUGGCACUUGCAUAUCUACAAUCCUUUUAUAUAUCCUCUUGAAUACAGUUUUCUAGUACAAGUGGUCUUCAAGAAGCUCAUGGAAAAAUACAUAUUAUGGAAAAAUUGUGCAUGAAUUUCACAGUUUUUGCACCAAAAUAAACUGAUACAAAUCUGUUAUAACAUGUCUGAACAGGCUCUAGUUUGAGGCACUGAGAAGGAUAAGACAUGAGUUUGAAAAGAGACUGUAUCAAAGGAAUACAAAUUCUGCUAAAAUUGAAACAAGAAGAAACAUAAAAUUUAUGAUGAGAACAGUUGCAGUGUCUCAGGUCUGUAAUUCCAGUAAUUUCAGAGGCCAAGACAGGUGGGUCACGUGAGCCCAGGCAUUCAGGACCAGCCUGGGCAACAUGGUGAAAACCCCUUCUAUACAAAAAAUACAGAAAUUCACUGGGCAGGGUGGCACCUGACUGCAGGGCCAGCUACUGUGGAGUCUGUAGCAUGAGGAUGGCAUGAGCCUGGGAGGUCGAGGCUGCAGUGAGCUGUGAUCUUGCCACUGCACUCCAGCAUGUCUCAAAAAAAGAAUACUUAUGGUAAAGUUUGGGUAGAUGAAUUAUGAUAUCAUUGAUGCUUUAUGAAAAGGUUAUGGGGACGAUGCCCAAAAGAAAUCAACAGUUUGUAAAUGGAUAACUAAUUUUGAGUUGGGAGAAGACAAUGUUGAAGGUUACACGUGGAGCAGCAGGCAGACCAUCCACAUCAGUUUCAGAGAAAAACAAUAAUCUUGUUUGUGCCGUGAUGAAGAGGACUGACAGCUAACAGCAGAAACAAUAGUCAGGAGGUUGAGAACAGGCUGGUUAACAUGGUGAAAUGCCAUCUCUAUUAAAAAUACAAAAAUUAGCUAGGUAUGGUCGCAGACACCUGUAAUCCCAGCUCCUUGGGAGGCUGAGGUGGGAGAAUCGCUUGAACCCAGGAGGUGGAAGUUGCAGUGAACCGAUAGUGCCAUUGCACUCCAGCCUGG
ensembl:lncRNA ZNF702P zinc finger protein 702, pseudogene